UCAGGAUGAACGCUGGCGGCGUGCUUAACACAUGCAAGUCGAACGGAGUUACAUGAAACCUAGUGAUUGUAAACUUAGUGGCGGACGGGUGGGUAACGCGUGGGUAACCUGCCGUAUACCGGGGGAUAACACUUAGAAAUAGGUGCUAAUACCGCAUAAGCGCACGGGAUUGCAUGAUCCAGUGUGAAAAACUCCGGUGGUAUACGAUGGACCCGCGUCUGAUUAGCUAGUUGGUGAGGUAACGGCCCACCAAGGCGACGAUCAGUAGCCGGCCUGAGAGGGUGAACGGCCACAUUGGGACUGAGACACGGCCCAAACUCCUACGGGAGGCAGCAGUGGGGAAUAUUGGACAAUGGGGGAAACCCUGAUCCAAGCGACGCCGCGUGAGUGAAGAAGUAUUUCGGUAUGUAAAGCUCUAUCAGCAGGGAAGAAAAUGACGGUACCUGACUAAGAAGCCCCGGCUAACUACGUGCCAGCAGCAGC
rnacentral:rRNA from 1 species